rnacentral:rRNA from 1 species
CGAACGGUAACAGGAAGCAGCUUGCUGCUUUGCUGACGAGUGGCGGACGGGUGAGUAAUGUCUGGGAAACUGCCUGAUGGAGGGGGAUAACUACUGGAAACGGUAGCUAAUACCGCAUAACGUCGCAAGACCAAAGAGGGGGACCUUCGGGCCUCUUGCCAUCGGAUGUGCCCAGAUGGGAUUAGCUAGUAGGUGGGGUAAAGGCUCACCUAGGCGACGAUCCCUAGCUGGUCUGAGAGGAUGACCAGCCACACUGGAACUGAGACACGGUCCAGACUCCUACGGGAGGCAGCAGUGGGGAAUAUUGCACAAUGGGCGCAAGCCUGAUGCAGCCAUGCCGCGUGUAUGAAGAAGGCCUUCGGGUUGUAAAGUACUUUCAGCGGGGAGGAAGGGAGUAAAGUUAAUACCUUUGCUCAUUGACGUUACCCGCAGAAGAAGCACCGGCUAACUCCGUGCCAGCAGCCGCGGUAAUACGGAGGGUGCAAGCGUUAAUCGGAAUUACUGGGCGUAAAGCGCACGCAGGCGGUUUGUUAAGUCAGA